rnacentral:lncRNA from 1 species
GAAAGGGUCUCUCCGAACAAGCCAUCCACGUUGACACUAUAAAAAAAAGAUUUGAAAUGCACAUCAAUUGAAGCUUUUUGUUUGUUAAAUUGUUGGUGGGAAGCUGUGCAACCAACUUUGAAUUACAUAUCCCCUUAACCCAAGAACCACAGAUUCUCCGAAGGUCACACCGAAGCUAUUGUUUUAUAUAAUAUGCUCUCUCUCUCUCCUAAUUAACGAUGUGUGGGUACAUGAAUAAUGUGACACGUGGAAAGAGUCGAGUUGUGGGGUUAUCGUUUCACUUCUUUUGCAUCAUUUAAUCAACUCUUAGGUUAGGUUUCUGGAUUGGUCAGCGUUAGAGAUAUGAUGCUGAUGUCAAGUCAAAGAUUGUAUCAAGUCACUGCAAUGGGCGCUUCUCGAAAAAGGCCUAUGUGCUACUUAAUGGGCCACUAAUCAGCUUAAUCCUCAUAUUGUAAUGGGUUUCAUCAUAUGUUUAGAUGAACCCAUCGUAAACGUUUUGCGACAAAUCUAUUGCAAUUUGCAGUGUCCGAGUUUGUGGUUCUUUUUUAUUCUCUGCAUUGGUUUAUAUAUAGAACCGGUUGAGAAAAAUAUGUUAUCACUAGGAUUUUUUGAACAAAAUAUAAAGUUUCAUUAAGCUGGCAUUGCCAUGAUUAUAAACAGUUUAUUAAAAAUUUCAACUAAAAUUCUUUUUUUAUAAUUUUGGAGAUUUUCUUACCUAUAUUAAUGUAAUUUUCUUCAAAAUUUUUGAAGGGCCAAUGUUCUUUCGGCUUUACACAUAACCAACCAUGUUUUUAGCUAUCAAAUUGAUAGUCUACUUCUCCAC